rnacentral:rRNA from 1 species
AUUGAACGCUGGCGGCAUGCCUUACACAUGCAAGUCGAACGGCAGCACGGGUGCUUGCACCUGGUGGCGAGUGGCGAACGGGUGAGUAAUACAUCGGAACAUGUCCUGUAGUGGGGGAUAGCCCGGCGAAAGCCGGAUUAAUACCGCAUACGAUCUACGGAUGACAGCGGGGGACCUUCGGGCCUCGCGCUAUAGGGUUGGCCGAUGGCUGAUUAGCUAGUUGGUGGGGUAAAGGCCAACCAAGGCGACGAUCAGUAGCUGGUCUGAGAGGACGACCGGCCACACUGGGACUGAGACACGGCCCAGACUCCUACGGGAGGCAGCAGUGGGGAAUGUUGGACAAUGGGCGAAAGCCUGAUCCAGCAAUGCCGCGUGUGUGAAGAAGGCCUUCGGGUUGUAAAGCACUUUUGUCCGGAAAGAAAUCCUUGGCCCUAAUACGGUCGGGGGAUGACGGUACCGGAAGAAUAAGCACCGGCUAACUACGUG